rnacentral:rRNA from 1 species
AGCAGCCGCGGUAAUUCCAGCUCCAAUAGCGUAUAUUAAAGUUGUUGCAGUUAAAAAGCUCGUAGUUGAAUUUCGGGAUCAAUUUAUCGGUCGUGCCUCUGGUAUGCACUGGUAUUAUUGAUUUCUACCUUCUGACGAACCAUGAUGUCAUUAAUUUGGUGUCAUGGGGAAUCAGGACUGUUACUUUGAAAAAAUUAGAGUGUUUAAAGCAAGCACACGCUUGAAUACAUUAGCAUGGAAUAAUGAAAUAGGACGUUUGACCCUAUUUUGUUGGUUUCUAGGAUCGACGUAAUGAUUAAUAGGGAUAGUUGGGGGCAUUAGUAUUCAAUUGUCAGAGGUGAAAUUCUUGGAUUUAUUGAAGACUAACUACUGCGAAAGCAUUUGCCAAGGAUGUUUCAUUAAUCAAGAACGAAAGUUAGGGAUCGAAGACGAUCAGAUACCGUCGUAGUCUUAACCAUAAACUAU